CCUACGGGGGGCUGCAGUGGGGAAUAUUGGACAAUGGGGGCAACCCUGAUCCAGCCAUGCCGCGUGUGUGAAGAAGGCCCUCGGGUUGUAAAGCACUUUCAGUGAGGAAGAACGCCUGGUGGUUAAUACCCAUCAGGAAAGACAUCACUCACAGAAGAAGCACCGGCUAACUCCGUGCCAGCAGCCGCGGUAAUACGGAGGGUGCGAGCGUUAAUCGGAAUUACUGGGCGUAAAGCGCGCGUAGGUGGCUUGAUAAGCCGGUUGUGAAAGCCCCGGGCUCAACCUGGGAACGGCAUCCGGAACUGUCAAGCUAGAGUGUAGGAGAGGAGGGUAGAAUUCCCGGUGUAGCGGUGAAAUGCGUAGAGAUCUGGAGGAAUACCAGUGGCGAAGGCGGCCUUCUGGACUGACACUGACGCUGAGGUGCGAAAGCGUGGGUAGCAAACAGGAUUAGAUACCCGAGUAGUC
rnacentral:rRNA from 1 species